ACGGGUGUGGAACGACAUGAGGGUGAGUAAUUAAUGACAGAAUUUUCAUUUUUGCGUGAAAUAAAACUUUUUUUUUUUAAAUCUUUGAUCAUUGAUGGGCGAACAUAGACAUUUCAAAAGUGAGGAUGUAUGAAUGCAUUAGUGGAAAAAAACAUUUACACACAUGCAAAAAGAAGGACAAAGGAAAAAGGUUACGAGAACAUCUAAUUGUUUCUUCAUGCAAAUGCACAGCGUGUUGAGGUCAUUUGGGCCUUUAUGAAACAAUGUUUUGAAUACACAGUCAGCCUCCUCCAGUUCCUUCUACUUCCCCUUGCAGUUCAAUCGGUAAGCUGUGUAUGUAUUAUAACACAAAUAAAUUCCCACUUGAUGGGAUUAUAUGCAUUAAUCUCCACAGAAAUGCACAAAAACAACAUAUCUUUCUUUUUACCCUCCAUUUGUGUCAUUUACAAUGGAAAUAUGAUCAGUUUGGGUCAUGAGUCAAAUGGCUUUCUGUAGGAAAUAUGACACGUAAUGUGAAAUUUUAUAAACAUGUACAUGCUGGAAAACUUCAAAACAGGUUUCGGUUUAUGCUGUCGACAUUUGAUGUGAGGGGACUGAUUGAAUACAUAUAUUUAUAGUUCUUCAACAUUUCGGAAAUUCUGUGCAAGGGCAACAUGGGUAAUUGCUGUUUUUGUGGAAAAAGAAGCUGGAAAGUAGAUUUACUGACGAGUUUUACCCGUUACACUAGAGGCCAGUGUGAAGUACCGUCAGCAAAGCACUUUCUAAAAUCAUUCAACAGCUGUUUUCAUGUUAUUUUCUGUUAUUAAUUAACAUUUUUGUGUCAUGAUAAGCUGUUUUCACAAUAGUUUGAUCAUGACAUGCUGGCCAUCUUGCUUGUAGCAAUUUUGAGAACGAUUUGUGUCCUCGCACAUCAACAAGAAACUGAGAGCUGUGGAGUUAUGACCAAAAACUCUCAGUUCUCUCUUACUUUCUCACUUAUUCCAAGAGUCUGGCAGAUGUUUGACCCCAGGAGAAAGGAGUGAGACGGACUCUGCCCAAUCUCCAGAGACGCUCAGAGAGAGAAAUACUCUGAGCCCUACCCUCCUCUGCAAGGCGUUAGCCAAUGUGGUUAGUGAACCAAGAACUCAAAGAAACAGCACUGACAGUUCAGUCUGGGUGGAGUCUGUCCUGUCAUUUACAACACAGCAUUGUCAUAUCACUAUACCCAUAUUUAGCAGAAGUGCUCAGUGCUAUAUAAAAUGGAGAAAAUCAAGUGCAGUAGAAUGCCAUUGACAUUUUUUUACUGUGUCUAGUUUUACUAUGCUGAACUCAUAUUUGGAGUACUGCUCAAGUCAUCAAUGAUGACAUUCAGGAGCAGUGUUGGGGAAAGUUACUACUUUUAAAACUAAUGCAUUAUAAUAUUGCGUUACUCCCUAAAAAAGUAACUAAUUGUGUUACUUAGUUACUUUUUAUGAAAAGUAAUGCAUUACAUUAUUUUUGCGUUACUUUUUCUCAUCUGGGCUUGCUUGUUUGUUUUUUUAAUAACAACAAAAAAGCUCUAUUUUUGGCUAAUGUAAAGGUCCUUUCACACCAAAAGUGAAAUGAAUAAACCUCAGGCUAAGGGAAAUGCAAAUUUAUGCCUGUACAGUAGAGGGUGCGCAGAAUAGAAUAGAAUAGGAUUUUGUUGUAAAUUGAAAAAGUAUGGUUGUUACUUUACUAGUUACUUGAAAAAGUAAUCUGAUUACAUAACUCAAGUUACUUGUAAUGCGUUACCCCCAACACUGUUCAGGAAUGUAGCUGACUAAAUGUAAUAUUUUAAGAUUCAACCAUUGGAAAAUCCCAUAAUGGUCGACCACUAAUCUGAAUAUUGUCUAUGGUAUUUGUUCAAGUGUUAUGUGAGUUUAUCGCACUUUAUCACUGAACCGAAUUACGCAAAUCAUGUGUAGGCCUAAGCCAGCAGAGGAACAGACGAUCCUAAUGGCUACAAGUUUUGGCAGAAAAAGGAACUUGCGCUAUAGAUUGCAGAAAGAAAUCAAAACUAGAAGUGGUGAGUUACAUUUAUCCAUCCUUUGCACACUAUACUGAACCUAGAAUUUAGAGUCUUUCAUCAUAAACCCCAGUCAGUUCAGUUAAAACUGAAAGUGUAACUGUCAGAUGGACUGUAAUUGCACACUUAGUCAUCUAUAGUUGCACACUUAAAUAUGUGAAAAUGAGGGAAAAAAUUAUCAUGGGAACUGUCACCACAAUUUAUGACACAGCAAGUCACCGUCUUUCCAGUGACUCACAGCAGAAAAGCGCGUCUCAGUAAGCCCCUUGUGUCAUUCAAGAUAUUCAGCUGUUUUGUAAUGGUAUUUUCAUAUUAAGAAGUCGACAAUAACGGCCUACAACUGCGUGUAGAUAUUCUAUUAUCUUUAGUAACUAGAAUGACAGUGGUUGGUUAGUAAAAUAUGCAAAAGCAAAUAUGACUUCCCUAAUAAAAGCUGCUAUAUGGUUCUGAAAUAGAUAAAUAUCCCAACUUCUGCAUGGCUCUUUUGGAUUGCUUAAAAUGAGGAUGUUUCUCAGUUCCUCAUUCCCUCUGGAAAACCCAACUGCCUUUUUUUUUUGCUUUGUUUUUUUUUUUUUUUCAAAUUUGCAUAAUUUCCCAUUCAUUUUCUAUGUUAUGUUUCAGCAUGCACAACCAAACUUUCACAGAACAGUCUUUCAGAAAAGUUUCUAUAUUGUACACUAAAAGCAUUGUUAUAACAACUUUGCUUUCAUUCAUUUAAUUUGUCGCAGUAAUUAGUCAUUUCUACUCUGUUUUAUGUGUUUUCAGAGUGUCAACUCAACUGUAAUUUAAUUGAAAGUGGUCAAAAGUGCCAUGAAAUAAACUUAUCACUUCA